CCACCGCGGUUAGACGAGAGGCCCUAGUUGAUAAUACAACGGCGUAAAGGGUGGUUAAGGAUAAAAAACAAUAAAGCCAAAUGGCCCUUCGGCCGUCAUACGCUUCUAGGAGUCCGAAGCCCUACACACGAAAGUAGCUUUAACAAAACCAACCUGACCCCACGAAAACUAAGAAACAAACUGGGAUUAGAUACCCCACUAUGCUUAGCCGUAAACUUAGACAUUCGACCACAAUAAAAUGUCCGCCAGGGUAUUACAAGCACUAGCUUAAAACCCAAAGGACCUGACGGUGUCUCAGAUCCGCCUAGAGGAGCCUGUUCUAGAACCGAUAAUCCCCGUUCAACCUCACCACUUCUAGUCAUCCCAGCCUAUAUACCGCCGUCGUCAGCUUACCCUGUGAAGGCAAUAAAAGUAAGCAAAACGAGCACAGCUCAGAACGUCAGGUCGAGGUGUAGCACAUGAAGUGGGAAGAAAUGGGCUACAUUUUCUACCACAGAAUAUAACGAAUAUGCACCAUGAAACAGUGCUUAAAGGAGGAUUUAGCAGUAAAAGAGAAACAGAGUGUCUCUUUGAACCCGGCUCUGAGACGCGUACACACCGCCCGUCACCCUCCCCGCUAACACGCACCAUAAAUACCUAAUACCACAGCACAAGCAAGGGGAGGCAAGUCGUAACACG
rnacentral:rRNA from 1 species